AUGAGCUCCUAGAAAUUCUAUCAUUCCUAAUCUCUUUGUGCAGGUGCUGAUGCUUGAUGCUUUUUGAUAGCAAAUGAGAGAAAACCAAGAAAAAACGCUCAUUGUGCAUUAAGUCAUCGGGUUAUUUGAGCGUGGUUGAGAAUGUUGAAGAGGCAUCCCUGGUAUGUUCCAGAACAAGUAGGGAAGUACGACCACUCUACCAUUGUGCUGACUUUAUGGCAGAUGGACUGGAGGAAUGAAGGGGCGGGUGGCUGGUGUGAACCAGGGGUCCUGUAGAAGCAGCAGAGGUUAAAGCUGAGGCAGGAAUUGACGAGAAGUAAGGAUUCCCUCUUGUUCCUCUUCAGAAUUCCUACUUGCAGCUGACAAUGGACACACCAAGCCCCUUUGAAGGGCCAAAGGGGAACAUUCAGAUUUGAAAACAGCCAGAUUACAGUUUUACACUUCCUGGUUUUGAAACCCCUGAAAAGCACAAAGCUGAACAAAAAUCAAAAUGGCUGCACUGAUGCUUCAGUGAAGCUCCAUUUUGAAGUAACCAUUUUCCUCUUUUCCGCAAACAUCCUCCCCUACCCCCCCUUUUUUCCCCAGGAACUAGGUACCACCCUGAAAACAACCAAGGGGGCUGGCAGCACUUACGCAAUUCCUGUUGAAACCGACUAGAUCCCGUAUUUCCCUAUAAAACGCAGCAGUCCCUUCCUCUGGAUAGCCUGCGGCUUUUUGAAGGCAAUAGCGAGCUGCAUUCUCCUUUGCCUGGCAAAGCAAUAAAGCUAUUGUUCCUCUUUAUCCCAAACUUUACCUUUGUGUUAUAUUUUGGCUCUGAAGCAUGGAGUUCAGUUUUUGACAACAUUUUGUUCUUGCACCAUUUUUCAUCUACUACUGUAUCUGCAUGGCUUGUGCCAACAU